UCCGUGGACAAUUUAGAGUUCCCGCCUGAAUUUCAUGGACAUUAUGGGAUUCAUGGACAUCGUCAUGUCCACGAAUUUAUUUCUGUAGUUUCGCUUCGCUCCGUGGACAAUGGUUUGCAUGACGUAUGGACAGACUUUUCAUGGACAUGAUGUCGUGUCCAUAAAUUCACACCUAUUUUAGCCCGCUCAAAGAUGUCAUAGCUUUUUUUAACACCACGUGGCGCCCCAAUCGACCGAGUAUGUUACUCUGCCUCUGAUUGGUCAGCUUGUGCAAGGUCGUUUUUGAUUGGUUGUUGAAGUCGUGUCCACGCAGUGCUCUUGUUCUGCUAACUUUGUCCAUGCAAUGUUAGGAAUAUUUACAAAUUUUGUGACGUCAUAGCAGACAGCUGGCUUAUUGUUCGCGAAACGACAUGUGGGAGACGUUGAGACGACGCCGGCCAUGCGCCAUUUCAAUUUCAGUUAUUGUGCAAGGCCGAGUUUCUUACUGUUUUUUGACACAGCAUUGGUGUAUGUUGAAGUCGGCAUUUUCGCUGGAGUGAAGAUUAGUGAGUCAUUUGAUUUCGUUGGAGAGGAAUAUGAAAAGAAAGGUCUCGACGUGGCUCAACUUUGGAGCCAGCGUGUUGGGUCCCGGCUUCCCGCCAUUCACCGGCGGACCGUUCCGCUUCGUGGACCGCAUCGGCCCCGCACAGCUGGUCAAGGGCAUUAAGCGCUUUGUCGCUGUCUACAGCGUCGGAUUCGAGCUGGUCGGGCACAAGUCGCGCUCUCCACGUGACCGAGCCCGCCCUUAGGCGACCGAUGCCCGCCAACCGGCCGCCGCGCGGACGGAGGUGACGCUGCCGGCCAUCGAGCGGCUCAUCGAGGCGGGCAACGCUCGGAUCAUCGAGACACUGGAAAAGAGACUCGCCCAGUAGGAGCGGAGAAUAGAGAUCCUCGAGGCAGAAUGUCAGGAGACAGAUGUCAUGAUGAUCCGCCGGGAAAUGACAUCCCAGAAAGAGGAGACCAGGGAGCUUAAGGAAAAGGUCGACGGAAUCAACAGAAACCGGCGCAUGUCCUCACUUAUCAUCACGUGUGAGGAAUUCGGUGACAGGAAGCCCGGGGAGGACAUUGAGCUCAUGACGGUGCAAGCGCUCAACAAGCGUUUCCCUGACUUGAAAUUAACGACAGGUGACAUCCAGGUCGCCCAUCGUCUUCAGGGGAAUGGUAAAGUGAUCGCCAAGUUUGUCAAACGGACAGUGAGGGACGAACUGUUUGAGCAACGGUUCGAGCUGGCCGGACGGAGGGGCGGUGCUCGACCGGGCAGGUGGAGUGCGUCAGGUGGCUGGGAGAUGGAAGCACUUUACCUCAGCGAGUCUCUGACACCCGAGUCCCAGCGCAUGUACAAUCUGCUACUCACUGCGCGUAAACAAGAAUGAGGAUCCAAGGUGGCAUCAGUUUUUACCAGGAGAGGCUACGUUUACUGCAGGAAGGUGAAAGGCGGCGAGAACAUCCGGAUACAGGACUGGUGUCACCUUCAGCGCAUCGUGCACACUGCAUAGCAGUCCGGGUGGGUCGCCGGUGGCGGCGGAGGCGGCUGGCGCGCCGGGCGGCGGGCGGCCGAGCGGCCCGCCCGCCCGGGAUCGGGCGGUGCCGCGCGGUUCCCGGCCUGCCCGUGAGGAGCGGAGCGCCGCCCGGCCGGGACCGGCGCCGCCGCUCUCCCCGGGCGGAGCUGCGGGGGAGCCGAGCCGGCGCACGGUAGCUGCUGGUGCACCUGCACCGGGUACAGGGCCGGAGGCGAGCAGCAGUGAUCCGGUAGGUGCGACACGUGACCGAUGUACGGCCGAGCGGACGGGUCGGGCGGGGGCGGGGCCGAGCUCGGUCGGGGGCUCCGGCUCCGGCUCCGGCUCCGGCUCUGGCUCUGGCCCUGGGCCGGCUCUGGACACUGUCCGGGACGACUGUCAGAGCUGUCCCCCGCUGAGCCGAGUAGAGUCUGGCUGUGAUCCCCUCGCCACGGGGUGAAUUUGAAUGUAUCGGGAAGUAUUCACUCUAGAGAGGGGGCGAGUACACUCAUGUCCGUUCGCUGUGUGAUAAAUGACGGCACUUCAGGUGCGUUCCUUGUCUGGCGGGGAGGUGUGCGGGAUAACCGUGAGGUUUUGGGGCAGGGUUGAUUAGUGUCACUUAUAAGUGGGAUAAGGGUGGCAAAAUCGGCUGAGUGGGGAAGAAAGACUAUGAUCAGGGAUUUGCCCUUACAUGAUAAAUAAGUGAGAAAGUGCAUUUAAAGUUAUUACACGAAUGAAAGUUUUGAACACCGUGCAAUGUGCAUUGUUAGUAGAAGUUUUCUCUUUCUUUUUCUCUUUCUGUUGCCGGCUACUCGUGCGGUCGGCUUGAACUGAUUAAAGGUAUGCACUUUCAUUACAGCUAUUCAAGCCAGCAUAAAGUGUCCCGGAGAAUCGAGAUGGUAACGAGAAUCGAGUUGGUAACGUUGAUCGCCUUAGGAAAUGACCAGUGGCUCAUGCAGGUACCGGUAAAUGUCUAUUAUCAUUUGAUUGUUCACCUGGAGAACGGUGACGUGUCACCCCGCAGACACUUGAUGAUGUGGGAAGCUUGAGAGAGCAGCGGUCUCGCCGCUUGCCGCCCGUGGCCCGCCCUUUGUGUGGCCCACAUGUGAUAUUACCGAAAGGGUAUGCAUGGGAAGCAGCUCCGCGUGUGUGCCAGUGCUAUGCGUAUUCAGAGAAAAAUAUAUAUUCUGGGUGGUCAA